AGUAGUUUGACUCUGGCUCAGGACGACGCUGGCGGCGUGCUUAACACAUGCAAGUCGAACGGAAAGGCCCUUUCGGGGGUACUCGAGUGGCGAACGGGUGAGUAACACGUGGGUGAUCUGCCCUGCACUUCGGGAUAAGCUUGGGAAACUGGGUCUAAUACCGGAUAGGACUACGCACUGCAUGGUGUGUGGUGGAAAGCUUUUGCGGUGUGGGAUGGGCCCGCGGCCUAUCAGCUUGUUGGUGGGGUGAUGGCCUACCAAGGCGACGACGGGUAGCCGGCCUGAGAGGGUGUCCGGCCACACUGGGACUGAGAUACGGCCCAGACUCCUACGGGAGGCAGCAGUGGGGAAUAUUGCACAAUGGGCGCAAGCCUGAUGCAGCAACGCCGCGUGGGGGAUGACGGCCUUCGGGUUGUAAACCUCUUUCACCAUCGGCGAAGCCUCAUGCUUUUGUGUGGGGUGACGGUAGGUGGAGAAGAAGCACCGGCCAACUACGUG
rnacentral:rRNA from 1 species